CACGUAGGGUGCGAGCGUUGUCCGGAAUUAUUGGGCGUAAAGAGCUCGUAGGCGGUGUGUCGCGUCGGCCGUGAAAAACCUGCAGCUUAACUGUGGGCUUGCGGUCGAUACGGGCAUCACUGGAGUUCGGCAGGGGAGACUGGAAUUCCUGGUGUAGCGGUGAAAUGCGCAGAUAUCAGGAGGAACACCGGUGGCGAAGGCGGGGUCUCUGGGCCGAUACUGACG
rnacentral:rRNA from 1 species